UCAUUGGGAUCUCGCGAGAACGAAAUCUUCCUUUCUGUGGGCGGAGCAAUCUUCCCGAUGUCUCUUCCCUCUGAGGCCAGUAGCAGGAAGGGCCUCGGGAGUUGCGAGUGUCGCGAGGUUUGAGGUCGCUCGGUGGGCCGGGCGCUGUGCGAAGCUAGAAAUAACUGGGGGCAUGGAGAAUGCGGUGGCUGUAAAGGGCCGCUGAGGCGGUGGAGGCCUGGCAGAGAGCGUCCCCGCGGUCGCGGCUUCUGGCUUCUCUGUGGAGCUUGGUUCUUCCGUGGUGGUGCAGCACCCCAGGAACUUCAGGAACCAGUCCUUCCUUGGAGAGCUCCCCGGGACAGCCACGGGGGCCAAGUGAAACUAGCGCGUUUUCUUGGAUCCUACACUUUAUAGUGAGUCAUAAAUACUUUAAAUACAAAGCCAACAACAUUUGCUGCAAAUAAACGUAAAAAUACUGUUAAAGUGUAAAGUGUUUUCCUCCGUACCAUCUGACGUUUCUGGCGGUUCGUUGAACGCGAGAGAACGCUGAGCCGUCUGCACUGAGCCCGGGAGCAUCUUCAGGGCAGCGCCGCCCACGCGCGAGGUGAAUGAAGGACACGGCCUCUUGACACUCCCAGGCAGCACAGAUAGACGGAUCCGACAAUCCUUAGCUUGCCUUUGCCAGCUUCUGUCCACAUUCCUUGGCUUUGGUCCCUUCCUCCAUCUUCAAAGCCAGUGAUAUGCCAUCUCUCUGAACCUUCCAUCCUCAAGUCUACCGCUGAUUGCAGCUGGAAAAGAUUCUGAGGGCUCACCUGAGUAAUCCAGGAUCAUCUUCCCAUUUCCAGGUCUCUGCCCUUGAUCACAUCAGCAGAAUCCUUUUGCCAUUGGCUAGAAGUGACCCCAGGAUUUUUUUAUUAUCAAGAGAGACUAGAAGAAUCAUGAGACUUUUCCUAGUUGCCUUUCAAGAAUAUGAAGAAAAAAAUGGUUCUCAAAGUGGGUUUGAAUGAGUAUUGUUCCAAUAAAUGAACUUAUAUUCAUAUUUCAUCCCCUGAGUCCUGGUGUUUCAACAUCCAUUAGAACUGAAUAAUCAUACUGCAUAUCAAAGUUUGUGGGAAAUUGCUAAAGUGUAAAAAAUGCUCAUAUUGAAAAAGAAGAAAAGCUGAAAAUUAAUUGUGCUUCCAACUUUAAAAAAGGACAACAAGCUAAUCCUAAAGAAACUAGAAUAAAAGGAAAAAAUAAACAGAAGUUAAAGAGUAAUUUUAAAAAAUACAAUAGAAAUUAUCAACGAAGCCAAAAGUUGAUUCUUUGAAAAGAUUAAUGAAGUAGGCAAACCACUGGUGAGAUGAAUCAAGAAAAAUAGAGAAAAGACUCAAAUAAACAUUAGGAAUGGAAAAUAGGGCAAUGCUAAAGAGAAUUCAAAGAUCAGAAAAAUAUGGG
rnacentral:lncRNA from 1 species